UUUUGAAAUGGUGAGUUAGGAAAUCUUUACUAGGUCUGGGGUGGAUUUCUUAAAAGUGGUUUCCUGAUCGUGUCACGUGACUUCCUUGUGUGUUAUAUUCCUUCUUUUGUAGCAGAAAUAAACUUUUUCCAUUUCAUUUUGAGUGCAUAAUCAUUAGAUUUCGUUAAAAGACUCUACUCAAGGAUCAAAGUUCAGCCCUCAAAAGCUAAUGAUUUUUUUUCAUUUGAAAUCUUUCCAAGUCUUUGCCAUUGCACACUCUAAAAAAUGCUGGGUUGUUUCAACCCAACUUUGGGUCAAAUAUGGACUAACCCAGCAAUUUUUAACCCAAAAGUUGAGGUUUGGAACAUUGCCAGUUUACAUCGGCAUUCCCUAUAUAUUUAUUAUAUAUAUUUAUCCAUAUAUUUUACCAGAUACAGGUCAGCAUAAGUAUGGUGUUUCACAUAAAUCCGUUGCGCUGAAUGAUUAUUUCACCCAUAUUUUGACAUUUUAUUUGAAAGAUUAAAGCAGACACUUUACUUGUAUUUACUUGUAUUACUUGUAUUUCACAAUUAGUUACUGUCCUCGAGUAUCUUUUUGUAGUUUAACUGAGUAUCAAAUGUAUUAGCAAAUUUUACUCUCUACUUCACUACAUUUUUUUAAUCAAGAUAUGUACUCUUUACUCCAGUACCUUUGUAAAGAUUCAUGCAAUUACUCGUUACAUUCUGCAUGGCACCAGGCUUUUCUGCAGCAGUUUAUUUCUGCUACAAAAGACGGAAUAUUACACAGAGGAAGUCACGUGACACGAUCAGGAAACCACUUUUAAGAAAUCCACCCCAGACCUCGUAAAGAUUUCCUAACUCACCAUUUCAAAAGAUUAAAAACUGGUCAAAAGUUAGUGUUAAUCUACAGUGUUCGGCCAAAACAAUGGUUUAACCAACCAUACGUUUAUAAACACAACUCAAGCUGAAGGAAGUGAUGUAACAGAACUCUAACACACUGAAAAACACACUCUCAAUCAGCAGAAAAACAGAAAAAGUGUAUAUAUAUAUACAUAUAUAUAUAUAUAUAUAUAUAUAUAUAUAUAUAUAUAUAUAUAUAUAUAUAUAUAUAUAUAUAUAUAUAUAUAUAUAUAUAUAUCCCUCCACAUGACUGUACAAUAUGCAUGCAAAUAAACCUUGACAUACUUAUAUAUCCAACUUAAAUAUCCAUAUAAAGAUCUGGCCUAUAACUUACAUGAAUAUUAUAUUAUAACUUACAUGAAUAUUACAAUUUUAAUUACAAUAUACUGUAUGUAUGCAGACAAAAAUUGUACAAACUUAUAAAACCAAUUUUAUAUACAUCUAUACAUACUCUUAGUAUGAUAUACAGAGCUUUUCACUGAACAAAUUUUCACUGAAAGCAACAAAGAUUCAACUGAUCUGAGUGCAUUUCCAUUUAUGCUUUUAGCAGACGUGUUUACAUAGAUUUACUGUAAAUUCAAGCUAUGAAGUUUUUAUUUGAGAAUUGAACUCUUGACUAGUUUAGCUGGUAGAAACGAAUAGGUUACAAUUUACUAUCAACCAACACUACAGGACUUAUGUGUGCAAACCUUUAGACAUUUAUCAGGCCUUUCCCAGGUCUUUCCCCGAACUCGAGGAAUGAAAUUUAAGACAUUAUUAAUGCAAUAUUUAUCUGUAAACAGAAGGGUUCUGUAAACCAGGGUCAUUAAUUAACUGAUUUUGUACAUUCGUGAGGGCAGUUUUUAUCACCACCUUAAUAAUUGUAUCUGUGUUGUCUUUAAUGUCAAACACUUGAACUUAACCAAUUACUUUAAUCAAUCAAAAUACUUUAAACUGUUGCCAGUAACAACUGACUGUUUGAAAUCAUAUCUUAAUUAUACGUUUAAAAACAGGAGCCAAUAUGGCUGCAAUAUUAUGACAACAUUCGUUAUUGUCGAUUAUUGCUCUUGAUAUUGUAAUAAUGAUUAUUAAUACGGAUUAAUGGAAUACAUAUAAAAAUCGCUUCAUCUGGAAAGCAUCUGCUGUGUACAAACAUCUGAUAGACGUCUUUAAGAUGUCAGUUUACAUUCAUUCUAAAUCAUAAACAUCUUAAAGACAUCUUAUUAACGUCUAUUUGACAUCUGAUAGGAAACGUCCUAUAGUCGUAUUGCAGAUGAACAAACACUAAAAAAAUAUGCCUUGCAGAUGUAAUGCAGACGUCAAAUAGACGUCUCUGUAUUGUACGUGUGCUAUCAAGGUGUGUUUUCAUGACUUUUGAGCACUUGUGCACAUCAAUCACCUCCUCGAGAUUCAUGAUUAAAAGCUAACUUUCAAGGUUUUUCUUGCCAUCGUAUAGUCGCAGUUGCAAAUCGAGAAGCGCUAAAAACUGAAUUGCACAGAAGUUCAAGGGGAAAUAAUGUGCGAUUGGUUUCCUCUUUUUUCCAUUGUUUUGUUUACUCAUCUGACAGUUCAGCCCAGACAUGUACGUUAAAGCUCACGCUAUACAACCCGUAACACCACAUAUCAACACACAGUACCAUUGUUAACAUGUCAAGCUAAAUAAUUUACAAACGCAAAGAGAUAUGUGCUUUAUAUAACCUAUAAAACUCCCAAAGCCAAACAUAAGUGAAAAUAAGCAUCCGGUUUCUCAGGGAAAGUGCGAUCCUACACGAGUUUUGCUGUGAAACUAGUGUCUCUGUACCUGCGAGUAAACACACUCCUCCUGAAGCUGCUGCUGUGGAGCGUUUGAGUGGUUCGGAGUGAAUGUCACCUCGCCGUACUGAACCUCCUCCUCCUUCUUCUUCUUCUUCCUCUUUGUCUGCGUUCGGACCUCGGAGUAUUCCACAUCAGCAGCCAGGAAAG
ensembl:lncRNA